AACCAUAGAAACCUGCGGAGUACCUGCGGAGGGAUCAUUACAAGUGACCCCGGUUUACCACCGGGAUGUUCAUAACCCUUCGUUGUCCGACUCUGUUGCCUCCGGGGCGACCCUGCCUUCGGGCGGGGGCUCCGGGUGGACACUUCAAACUCUUGCGUAACUUUGCAGUCUGAGUAAACUUAAUUAAUAAAUUAAAACUUUUAACAACGGAUCU
rnacentral:misc_RNA from 1 species